CUGCCCUCAAGCGCGGCUUGUGUGUUGGGUGUGGUCCCCCCGGGGACCUGCCCGAAAGGCAGCGGCGACGUCCGUCGGGUCCUCGAGCGUAUGGGGCUCUGUCACUCGCUCGGGAAGGACCUGCGGGGGUUGGUCACCACCAAAUCUCUUCCAU
rnacentral:misc_RNA from 1 species